rnacentral:rRNA from 1 species
AUUGAACGCUGGCGGCAGGCCUAACACAUGCAAGUCGAACGGGUCGCGGACGGGUGAGUAAUGGAUGGGAAACUGCCCGAUGGAGGGGGAUAACUACUGGAAAGGGUAGCUAAUACCGCAUACUAGCGGAUGUGCCCAUAUGGGUAUGGCGAGUGGGUGGGGUAAAGGCUCACCUAGGCGACGAGCCGUAGCUGGUGUGAGAGGAUGACCAGCCACACUGGAACUGAGACACGGUCCAGACUCCUACGGGAGGCAGCAGUGGGGAAUAUUGCGCAAUGGGCGCAAGCCUGAUGCAGCCAUGCCGCGUGUAUGAAGAAGGCCUUCGGGUUGUAAAGUGCUUUCAGCCAGGAGGCGUUACUCGCAGAAGAAGCACCGGCUAACUCCGUGCCAGCAGCCGCGGUAAUUC